rnacentral:rRNA from 1 species
UAGGGAAUCUUCGGCAAUGGACGAAAGUCUGACCGAGCAACGCCGCGUGAGUGAAGAAGGUUUUCGGAUCGUAAAACUCUGUUGUUAGAGAAGAACAAGGACGUUAGUAACUGAACGUCCCCUGACGGUAUCUAACCAGAAAGCCACGGCUAACUACGUGCCAGCAGCCGCGGUAAUACGUAGGUGGCAAGCGUUGUCCGGAUUUAUUGGGCGUAAAGCGAGCGCAGGCGGUUUCUUAAGUCUGAUGUGAAAGCCCCCGGCUCAACCGGGGAGGGUCAUUGGAAACUGGGAGACUUGAGUGCAGAAGAGGAGAGUGGAAUUGCAUGUGUAGCGGUGAAAUGCGUAGAUAUAUGGAGGAACACCAGUGGCGAAGGCGGCUCUCUGGUCUGUAACUGACGCUGAGGCUCGAAAGCGUGGGGAGCAAACAGG